rnacentral:rRNA from 1 species
CCUACGGGUGGCAGCAGUGAGGAAUAUUGGUCAAUGGACGCAAGUCUGAACCAGCCAUGCCGCGUGCAGGAAGACGGCUCUAUGAGUUGUAAACUGCUUUUGUACGAGGGUAAACGCAGAUACGCGUAUCUGUCUGAAAGUAUCGUACGAAUAAGGAUCGGCUAACUCCGUGCCAGCAGCCGCGGUAAUACGGAGGAUUCAAGCGUUAUCCGGAUUUAUUGGGUUUAAAGGGUGCGUAGGCGGUCGGAUAAGUUAGGGGUGAAAUCCCGAGGCUCAACGUCGGAAUUGCUUCUGAUACUGGUCGGCGAGAGAGUAGUUGCGGUAGGCGGAAUGUAUGGUGUAGCGGUGAAAUGCUUAGAGAUCAUACAGAACACCGAUUGCGAAGGCAGCUUACCAAGCUACUUCUGACGUUGAGGCACGAAAGCGUGGGGAGCAAACAGGAUUAGAUACCCUUGUAGUC